GAUGAACGCUGGCGGCGUGCCUAACACAUGCAAGUCGAGCGGACUUAUAACGAGAAUCUUCGGAUGAUUAUUAUAAGUUAGCGGCGGAUGGGUGAGGAACGCGUGGAGAACCUGCCCUUCACAGGGGGAUAACAGCUGGAAACGACUGUUAAUACCGCAUACGCUCACGGUACCGCAUGGUACAGGGAGGAAAGCUCCGGCGGUGAAGGAUGGCUCCGCGUCGGAUUAACUGGUUGGCGGGGUAACGGCCCACCAAGGUAAUGAUCCGUAGCCGGCCUGAGAGGGCGACCGGCCACAUUGGGACUGAGACACGGCCCAAACUCC
rnacentral:rRNA from 1 species